rnacentral:lncRNA from 1 species
GGCUUUAAUUAAAUCCUUUUUAAUCUGACUUGGUGAAGUCAGUGGGAGGAUUGAAAUUGACUGGUUAAUUUCUUCUCUUCUAUCCUUUAAUAAAAUUCUCAAAAAUUAUUAGGUCCCUAAAAAUGAUUAAGUUAUAGUGAUAACUAAGUCAUAGCCUCCCAUUAAGUGAGUGAUAAUGAGUCUAUUAGUUUAAUAAUCACUGGAGGCCCAAAGGCUUGGUGCUUAUUGACUAAUAAAAUUAUCAU